rnacentral:rRNA from 1 species
CUAUCGCUUACAGAUGGGCCCGCGGUGCAUUAGCUAGUUGGUAGGGUAAUGGCCUACCAAGGCAACGAUGCAUAGCCGACCUGAGAGGGUGAUCGGCCACACUGGGACUGAGACACGGCCCAGACUCCUACGGGAGGCAGCAGUAGGGAAUCUUCCGCAAUGGACGAAAGUCUGACGGAGCAACGCCGCGUGUAUGAAGAAGGUUUUCGGAUCGUAAAGUACUGUUGUUAGAGAAGAACAAGGAUAAGAGUAACUGCUUGUCCCUUGACGGUAUCUAACCAGAAAGCCACGGCUAACUACGUGCCAGCAGCCGCGGUAAUACGUAGGUGGCAAGCGUUGUCCGGAUUUAUUGGGCGUAAAGCGCGCGCAGGCGGUCUUUUAAGUCUGAUGUGAAAGCCCCCGGCUUAACCGGGGAGGGUCAUUGGAAACUGGAAGACUGGAGUGCAGAAGAGGAGAGUGGAAUUCCACGUGUAGCGGUGAAAUG